rnacentral:rRNA from 1 species
GUGGGGAAUCUUGCGCAAUGUGCGAAAGCCUGACGCAGCCAUGCCGCGUGAAUGAUGAAGGUCUUAGGAUUGUAAAAUUCUUUCACCGGGGACGAUAAUGACGGUACCCGGAGAAGAAGCUCCGGCUAACUUCGUGCCAGCAGCCGCGGUAAUACGAAGGGGGCUAGCGUUGCUCGGAAUUACUGGGCGUAAAGGGCGCGUAGGCGGACAGCUUAGUCAGAGGUGAAAGCCCAGGGCUCAACCUUGGAAUUGCCUUUGAUACUGGCUGUCUUGAGUUUGGGAGAGGUGAGUGGAACUCCGAGUGUAGAGGUGAAAUUCGUAGAUAUUCGGAAGAACACCAGUGGCGAAGGCGACUCACUGGCCCAAUACUGACGCUGAGGCGCGAAAGCGUGGGGAGCAAACAGGAUUAGAAACCCCGGUAGUCC